AGUUCCCACGCCGGGAAUCGAACCUGGGCCUCCUGGGUAAGAGCCAGGUGAAGAUAUCUGACUUCACCAUUAAAAC